GGAGUGGGUUUGCAUGAUGAGAAUUGAGAGCAGGGUUCUCAACUGGAUUCUUGUUUUGCAGUGUCUCCAUUCUGGUUUUGGUACUGCACAGCUGCCAGAGGCUGCACCUCCAGGAGCUGUUCUGGGCCUUGUGUGUUGCCUUCCUGGCAUGCUGGUGUCCCAUUCCUUUGGCCAAACGAGAGCUGACAGUGCCUCGAAGUCAACAGUCUCUGCAGAGCUUGAUGUUUGCAGGAGCUCUGGGGAUGGAAGCAGAGCUCUGCCUGUCUUUGGCCUCCCUCUUUAAGGUGCUGGGCUGUCAGAUGUCUCCUCGAAGCCUGGACUGCAGGCAGAUGAAUCAGCAGAGCUCUGCCCCGUCUCCCUGCUGGCUGCUCCAUCCAUGUGUUGUCAGCUCUGUGGUGUUUCACCCUCUCUUCUAACACGCCUGUUUCUCAGACGUGACCGGCAGCAGAGCUGUGAAGUUUGGGAUCUGUGAUGCUGACUGUUUCCCUGAGAACACCCACUUAACUGCUGCACUUUCUGGAGGCUGUCUGACCUUUUUGCCACUGCCGUGAAAAGGAAACCAUCAAGCAAACCAAGUGGCUCUUAGAGCCAGGCAAUAGCUCCUGCAUCCUCUCCCUGGUGAUGCUGCUUCUGCACCUUGCUGAUGAGCGAAGUGUGCGCCCUUUCCAGCUGACUGCAGGCUAAGUUCUGUGACACAGCAGCUGCCCUCAGCAGUAUGAGGUCUCUCUACCUGUUCCACCGAAUGCUUGUGAGCUGAUUUCUGCAUGAAAGACCUGAUUAAUGCUGGAAGUCUGAAACUCCCAAGAACUGCUAGCGUUUAGAAGCCAACUUGCAGCUCCCUCUGUGAAAGAGGACCUUUGUGUUUGGCAAGAGGGCAGGUGGGCAGCUUUAACCAGGACAGGCAGUCUUCCAGGCGUGAAGGUGCUUUCUCUGUCAUGUCUCGUCUCGUCAGUUAUCCCUGUUGGAGAGUGGAGACUUGCCUCUGCGCGGUGCUUUGCUCUCAGGAGCUCUUCCUCUGCAGAGUCUGAGCUCCCACGUCCUCCUGUUCUCCCUCCCAGCAGCCCAGCCAGGAAUGCAGGGGAUAACCAGAGCAAGGAUUGCUGCUGUUGGAGGCCGAAGCUUUAAAUAUAGAGGAAGAAGAGCGCUGUGGCCGAUCCUUAAUGCUCGAGAGGACAAAAAUCCCUCAAUAAUUCAGCGAGGCAGUGGGGCCGCGCCAUGCAGUGGGGUCAGAGGGUAUCUUUUAACUGAAGUGCCUGUAAUAGCCUGGGGUUUGUUGGAGUGCUAUGGGUAAUUAACUGCAAAUGUUGUUGGCCAUGAAAUUAUUUGGCCGUCUUUUUUUUUUUUUUCACGUUCUGCUUGCAGUGCAUACAGACUAAUCCAUGAGCCUGGGCUAAAUGUGCCUGAGCUUUUUGCUCUGCUGGUUUCUAAAUCACAUGUUUCUC